GUUUUAAUAAUUUAAAUAAAAAUAAUGAUUUUGUAAGUCAUCUUUAAGAUUACUCUUUUAAAACU
rnacentral:tRNA from 1 species